UGGGAUAAACAAUGUUUCUCUAGGGC
rnacentral:piRNA from 1 species